rnacentral:lncRNA from 1 species
CUAAUUUCACUAAUGAGUCACUCAGCUAACGAUUGCAAACUUUGUAACCUAAAGAAUUAUAAAUUCUAAUUUCUAACAACACACAACCUCCAAAGGCUUGUGGUCCCAAGUCAUCAAGUUAUCCUAAAUUGAUGACUAACUCCUAAUCCGGCUUACAACACACUAGAACUACAAAAUCAUAAGUAAUUACAACUCAAAGAGCACUCCUAAUAUAAUUUAGCUAAACCUAUAGCUAGACUAUGCUAUAUGGACUUGUUCCUUCGAGGAGUGCUUCACGCAACACCUCAAAAAUCAACUCUGAAUUAUCUUUUAUAUGUAUGAGUGUGCAAACGACUUUGUGGAAGCUCUUGGGUAUUAAGAUAUAGAUACUUGUUUCCUUUAAGUCAGCUUACUUUUCCUUUUAAGGAAUCUAAUUCCUUUUUGGAGUGUUUCUUUGAAGAAUCUCAUUCCUAUUUGGAGACUCUUUGUUGCCUUCCUUAGAUGGUCUUUUGGCCGCCUUGCUUUUAAAUCCCUUCCUUACAUGAUUUAGUCUUUUCCUUAUCCUGAUAUCCUUAACAUCUCAAAAAGAGGUUGAACUUGUGAAGAUGGGCAGGUGAAUCAACCCGUUUUUCAUCUAUUCCACUACUUUGCCAAUCUUCUAAACAAUUAUAUUCCAACAGAGGAUGUGCGUCAAUAACUCUCAAA